CCUACGGGGGGCUGCAGUGGGGAAUAUUGCGCAAUGGGCGAAAGCCUGACGCAGCAACGCCGCGUGCGGGAUGACGGCCUUCGGGUUGUAAACCGCUUUCAGCAGGGACGAAGCAACACGUGACGGUACCUGCAGAAGAAGCACCGGCUAACUACGUGCCAGCAGCCGCGGUGAUACGUAGGGUGCGAGCGUUGUCCGGAAUUAUUGGGCGUAAAGAGCUUGUAGGCGGUCUGUUGCGUCGGAAGUGAAAACUCAGGGCUUAACCCUGAGCCUGCUUUCGAUACGGGCAGACUUGAGGAAGGUAGGGGAGAACGGAAUUCCUGGUGGAGCGGUGGAAUGCGCAGAUAUCAGGAGGAACACCAGUGGCGAAGGCGGUUCUCUGGACCUUUCCUGACGCUGAGAAGCGAAAGCGUGGGGAGCAAACAGGCUUAGAUACCCUAGUAGUC
rnacentral:rRNA from 1 species